AUGAAACUUUAACAGAACCCUUCGGGGCGAAGAUAAAGUGGACUAUCGGCGGACGGGUGAGUAACACGUGAGUAACCUGCCUUAGACAUUGGGAUAGCCUCGGGAAACCGGGAUUAAUACCAAAUAAAAUCAUAAUGACACAUGUCAUAACGAUCAAAACUCCGGUGGUCUAAGAUGGACUCGCGUCCCAUUAGCUAGUUGGUAGAGUAAAAGCCUACCAAGGCGACGAUGGGUAGCCGGCCUGAGAGGGUGAACGGCCACAUUGGAACUGAGAAACGGUCCAAACUCCUACGGGAGGCAGCAGUGGGGAAUAUUGCACAAUGGAGGGAACUCUGAUGCAGCGACGCCGCGUGAACGAAGAAGGCUUUCGAGUCGUAAAGUUCUUUUAUAUGGGAAGAUAAUGACGGUACCAUAAGAAAAAGCCCCGGCUAACUACGUGCCAGCAGCCGCGGUAAUACGUAGGGGGCUAGCGUUGUCCGGAAUCACUGGGCGUAAAGGGUUCGCAGGCGGAAAUGCAAGUCAGAUGUAAAAGGCAGUAGCUUAACUACUGUAAGCAUUUGAAACUGCAUAUCUUGAGAAGAGUAGAGGUAAGUGGAAUUUUUAGUGUAGCGGUGAAAUGCGUAGAUAUUAAAAAGAAUACCGGUGGCGAAGGCGACUUACUGGGCUCAUUCUGACGCUGAGGAACGAAAGCGUGGGUAGCAAACAGGAUUAGAUACCCUGGUAGUCCACGCUGUAAACGAUGAGUGCUAGGUGUCGGCGAAUGUCGGUGCCGCAGUUAACACAAUAAGCACUCCGCCUGGGGAGUACGUGCGCAAGCAUGAAACUC
rnacentral:rRNA from 1 species